GACAGAGGUCCCGAGCGUUAGGCGGAAUCACUGGGCUUAAAGCGUGUGUAGGCGGACUUCUAAGUACCUUGUGAAAUCCCACGGCUUAACCGUGGAACUGCUGGGUAUACUGGUUGUCUUGGGCCAUCUAGGGGCUACUGGAACAAACGGUGGAGCGGUGAAAUGCGUAGAUAUCGUUUGGAACGCCAAUGGUGAAAACAAGUAGCUGGGGAUGUGCCGACGCUGAGACACGAAGCCAGGGGAGCGAACGGG
rnacentral:rRNA from 1 species